rnacentral:rRNA from 1 species
UACGUAGGGGGCAAGCGUUGUCCGGAUUUACUGGGCGUAAAGAGCGUGUAGGCGGCCAAGCAGGUCCGUUGUGAAAACUGGAGGCUUAACCUCCAGACGUCGACGGAAACCGCGUGGCUAGAGUCCGGAAGAGGAGAGUGGAAUUCCUGGUGUAGCAGUGAAAUGCGUAGAGAUCAUGAGGAAGACCAGUGGCGAAGGCGGGUCUCUGGACAGUUCCUGACACUGAGGCACGAAGGCCAGGGGAGCAAACGGG